CCUCCCCCGAUUUGGCACGACCACUGCAUUACCUUUUACACCAUACAUAAAGCCCGGCCUUCAACGACGAAGGGUGUGCUUCCCGAGAGAACGGGACCAGGACAAAGGCGUCCUCGCUAGGCAACUAGCGGGACGCC
rfam:Pseudomonas fluorescens HK44 Contig4, whole genome shotgun sequence.